rnacentral:rRNA from 1 species
CCUACGGGGGGCAGCAGUGGGGAAUAUUGCACAAUGGGGGAAACCCUGAUGCAGCGACACCGCGUGCGUGAAGAAGUAUUUCGGUACGUAAAGCUCUAUCAGCAGGGAAGAAAAUGACGGUACCUGACUAAGAAGCCCCGGCUAACUACGUGCCAGCAGCCGCGGUAAUACGUAGGGGGCAAGCGUUAUCCGGAUUUACUGGGUGUAAAGGGAGCGUAGACGGCAGAGCAAGUCUGGAGUGAAAUCCCAUGGCUUAACCAUGGAACUGCUUUGGAAACUGUGCAGCUAGAGUGCAGGAGAGGUAAGCGGAAUUCCUAGUGUAGCGGUGAAAUGCGUAGAUAUUAGGAGGAACACCAGUGGUGAAGGCGGCUUACUGGACUGUAACUGACGUUGAGGCUCGAAAGCGUGGGGAGCAAACAGGAUUAGAUACCCCUGUAGUC